UACAGAGGGUGCAAGCGUUGUUCGGAAUUACUGGGCGUAAAGGGCGCGUAGGCGGUCUUGUAAGUCUUGUGUGAAAUCCCUCGGCUUAACUGAGGAACUGCACGAGAUACUGCGAGACUUGAGAUCGGGAGAGGGAAGCGGAAUUCCGGGUGUAGCGGUGAAAUGCGUAGAUAUCCGGAGGAACACCGGUGGCGAAGGCGGCUUCCUGGACCGACACUGACGCUGGAGGCGCGAAAGCUAGGGGAGCAAACAGG
rnacentral:rRNA from 1 species